rnacentral:lncRNA from 1 species
CCACGGAAGACGUGGUCCACGGCACUUGAUGAGGGUUCAGAGCACACGAGCCUUAUCUGGAAGUACAAAACACACUUCCUUCCAAAGCGACUCAGUUAGAAAGAAUGUGCAUCUUCUGUGUCGCACCUUCCCCGGCCCUGCUUUCCUCACCCCAGACAAUGGAGUAUUGUCUCGGAAAGCAGAAACAAAAGAGCAGCACAAAAGCAAACUCCGCCCACGGGAAGAACAGAUGCCAAGGACCCACCUACUGUGGCUCCCCCUGCACUACCCAGGCCCAGAGAGGUGCUUCUCCGGGUGUGGGGUCGGAGAGGGCAAUGCAGAGAGGUUUCUUCAAGGUGUUAAAGGACCCAAGAAGCACAGCUGUGUCUGCCUCUGGUUCCUAAGAGUCCACUUCUCCCCCAGCACUGCCCACCCAGCCACAGGGCAGCUCUGUUCUGCAGAACAACUGAGACCACUCCCGCAGGAGGGCCUCUGCACUGCCCAGGUGGGAAGCACUUGGUGGGAACGAGCUUGGCAGCGCUGGGCCCGGGAGGGACAUAACCUCUGCAAAGCCUGCCCUGAGCACCUGCCCCUCUCACAUUUCCACCUGGACUUGCCUUCCCCAGGAGGUCACAUUGACUUGCUAUUUGACUUUCUUCAUGGUUCUUAAAACUAUGGAAAAUAAUCUUUUCAGUUUUUAACCCAUUCCUUUUCUACCC